UAUAUGCUGCAUGACUGUAGGCAGGGUAGAAGCAGUUGCUGUUGACUCCGGUGUACGUUGCAUCACCCAACAUGUGCUGUUCCCUGAUUUCUGCACACGUCGGGAACUGUUGAUCGUCAACGGCGCUCCGUAUCGGCGACACAGCCGUCAGCUACGGCCGCUGGAUCCUAACGAUAACAGGUGCAUCAGAUAUGCAGCAUAUGCAUGUUUUACAAACUGGAUCUGGGGAUAUCUUGGUCCAAGGAAUAGGCGCCAGAUACCAGGAUGUGUUGUCCGCACAAUCCGGAGCCUGUUCCCAUCAGUCACGUACACAGGCUACUUCCCCUGAAAGGGCUUGUGCACUUCGUCAUAAGCAUCACGACUUGAAUGGUCUUCUGAACGUAGCUGCCACCCAGUGUCCUUGUCAUUGAACCUGGAGCAAAUGACAAACAUAAGGACAAGCUGAUCUACGUCAAAGUCUGCAAAUAUCCUUGGCCUUUGGCAAAAAGGCCCUUCUCAGGGCCACCCCACAUGUCUGCAUCAGAGACCAUGCCUCUGCAUAGAAUAAGCCCUUAUCGUCAUUCAUGAUGAUGAUAUUUAUUAAUUAUAUUAAAUAUUAUUCAUUAAUUUACGUGCAUUCCUGAAAGGCCUGACAAAGGCAUUACGUUUCUUCAACUUUUCUCAAUGCAGGACAGGAGCUGCUGGGUCAGCACACAGAUGCCUCAUCAUCCAACUGUGUUUUCAUCCUUGUUGGACACUGUGCAGCUGUAUUGGUUAGCUAUGCAACAAAUACAACUGGCAUGCAUUGGCAUGGCACUGUCAUAUGCAACUCAAUGAACCUGCUGCAGGAAUCAGCAUCUGAGAAGCUGUUUAGUUUUGGCACAAAAUGAAGAAGAACGCUGUGAAACGCUUCCAAGCCGAAUGUCUGGUCUGUCGAUGACAGCUUAGGAACAUCCUUGAGCAGUGUAGGAGCCAUCAAGAUGUCAUGUAACCGCAUUUCCUUACCUUCCUUCAGCCACUCCCUUGGUGAGGACAGUGGACCGUGGUAGCAGGCAGGGUAAAGAGGGUCUUCAUGUACAUUGAUGUCAACAAUGUGGUUCAUUACUGACACCCAUUUUGCCAGGCAGAGAUCCCCAUCAUCAGCGCUCGUUUUGGGGCACCAGUAGGCAUGUCGGACAAUACUUUCGAUCCACAGCUGCACCACUUGGUGCUUUGCUGUGCGACGGAGAGCAAGAAGUUUCUUCUUGAUGCCUGAUAUAAACAAAAAUGUAACAACAAACUGCAAGCUUUAUGUUCCCUCUGAUUUCACCUUUGACAACAUGCCAGACAUCAAAUCGAUGCUUUAUGUGGGGGCACAGAUCUCGCAUCAUGGCUUUGAUUCCCGUAUGGCGAUCUGUGACGAGUGUCUCGACCACCAUAUCAUGCGCCUCGAGGAAUGCCAGACACCUCUGUAGCCCAUGCUUUUCCAUUGCAUUGCUGCUUGCCACCUCUGUUACCUAGUAUAGUUAAAAGUAGUGAAAGGGAAACAAUCUAUCACCAAGUGCUCUAUAUAAAUUGAAUAACAUUUGAGAUAAAACUUUGCCAAAAAUUUGCAAUAAAAGAGCCCUUAAAGCUAGUGCACUCAAUACGUUUCACAUAAAUGCCCAAAGGUGUAACCAGUUUUUACCUUGACUAACUCAAAGUGCACAAUGCGAUUGGCACUGGUUUCUAGCAGUGUGUAUGUGCCGUAGAGAGCUGUGUGACCUGGAGAGUCACAUCUCCCAUCACCGGCAAGUGUCAUUGGGGUUGGGCGCAGCUUUUCCAAUAACUCUUUCUGCUUCAUCUCGUACACCUGCAAUGACAGUGUUGAACAGCUUAUUGAUUUAUGCACAACAUAAAUCCUCAUAACCAGGCUUUUGUUCUGCAUAGUUCAUCGUACUCGUCAGUUGUUCAACAUUUUGACCAGGGUUGACAAAUAUAGCGUUUAAUGAGGGCUCGUUGUACAUACUCCUUACGAUAAAGCAUGAGGGUUUCAUACGUGUGGCAAUAUUUGUAUUAUAUGAAUGCUACUUGAUGUCAUUUGUCAGUCACCCUGUCAGCGUAUCCUAAAAAUGAGAAGUACUCACGUCAUUCACUGCAGGAAACAAGUAGCACUGCUGUGCCUUGUAGUACUGGGACCUUGAAAGUGCUGGGACUCCCAGUACCUGAAGCAUACGGAGGGCUUUGGCAAUGUUUGUCCCAGAAAAGAGGAUUCCGCAGCACAACAAGACAUUUCCAAGUGGCCUGUUUCCCACCCAUGGCUGGCUCUGCCACAGUCUUUCUUUUUGGCAGCUGCAGGUCAUUGUUGCUCUGACGCAUGUGCCCUUGAGGGUGA